rnacentral:rRNA from 1 species
GAUGAACGCUGGCGGCGUGCCUAAUACAUGCAAGUCGAGCGAACAGACGAGGAGCUUGCUCCUCUGACGUUAGCGGCGGACGGGUGAGUAACACGUGGAUAACCUACCUAUAAGACUGGGAUAACUUCGGGAAACCGGAGCUAAUACCGGAUAAUAUAUUGAACCGCAUGGUUCAAUAGUGAAAGACGGUUUUGCUGUCACUUAUAGAUGGAUCCGCGCCGCAUUAGCUAGUUGGUAAGGUAACGGCUUACCAAGGCAACGAUGCGUAGCCGACCUGAGAGGGUGAUCGGCCACACUGGAACUGAGACACGGUCCAGACGCCUACGGGAGGCAGCAGUAGGGAAUCUUCCGCAAAGGGCGAAAGCCUGACGGAGCAACGCCGCGUGAGUGAUGAAGGUCUUCGGAUCGUAAAACUCUGUUAUUAGGGAAGAACAAAUGUGUAAGUAACUAGGCACGUCUUGACGGUACCUAAUCAGAAAGCCACGGCUAACUACGUG